GUAUUCCAAGAGAGGGUGUUGCCGGAUAAAGUGAGAGUGGGUUACAUGAGUUAUAAUGUAAGAGCAUAUGUGCCUCCUCCUUUGAGAUGUUACAAAUGCCAAAAAUAUGGACAUAUUGCAGCUGGAUUUAAAGGAAAACAAAAGUGUGGAGGGGAGCAUAAGUAUGGGAAAUGUGAGGAUGGGACAGAGAUUAAAUGUGCUAAUUGUGGAGGUGCACAUAUGGUGACAUAUGGGGGGUGUGAAGUGAGGAAAAGGGCAGUAGAAAUACAGCAAAUAAGAGUUAACAAGGACAUAUCCUAUGCAGACGCAGUAAAUGUGGUUCAGAAGGAGAAAAGAGUGGAGAAGAAAGGGAAAGAAAUGGAAAAGGAACAUUCAAAUGAACAGGUUAUUACAAAAAGUCAGAUAGAAGAUGGAGAUAUGUUACUUGUAAAAAAGAAGGAUUUUGUGUAUUUCAUGGCUGAAGUUAUUAAUUGCACGUUCCAAGCAAAGGGGAGGUCUGAGAAAAUUUAAAUAACUGUAAAAAGUGCAGCAAGAUACUUAAAUAUUCAAGGAAUAUCUGGGAGGGGGGUACAAGAAGAGCU